AUUUUCUAUUGGUAAGAUUACAACCUGUCUUUAUAUUUUUCAUAAGUGUUUCCAUUUUCUCUUGUUUUAUUACUUUUCUGGAGCAAGUGAGCCUGCUGGAAAAGACUUAAAAAUAGUUUGUUGCUGUAAUUCAUUGUGCUGUUUUUGUUAAAAGGCAUGGUUUAUUUGCUAAAGUGUCCUGGGACAGGUGAGGGAGCGAGUGGAGCUGUUCAGGGAGGACAUCAACCUACAGAGAAUGAGAGAAGAGUGCACGUUUUCUCUUCCUAAGGUUUUCAAAUCUUCUGCUGCUGUUCUGCUUUAUCUGUCACAGUGGAAACCCUCGUGCAGGAACUAAACUUCUCCGUGUGACAGGAAAAAAGGGAAACAGCGUCAUCCUGCCAUGUGAAUUGGAGGCCAGACAGAUUUCUCAUUAUUAUUCAAGCAGUUGGUCAAAAACUAUCUAUGUUUGUCAGAAUGAAGAAUGUGGAAGUGAAAAUGGACGAGUAUUUAAAGAAGGAAACUGUGAUGUCGUCAUCAAGGAUCUGAGUUUCAGUGACGCAGGGAAAUAUGUUUUGAGAGUCGAUUACUAUAAUGCACAGUCAAUGCUGGAGCGAUUAACCCUGGAGUACUAUCUUCAUAUUCAGGGUAAAGUCAAAACUGAUCAAAGCAUCAGUACAUGGUUUUCUUAACAAAAGUUUAAUAAUGUUGGUAUUGCAUGCAGGGCCAUAACAGUUAAAAAAACAUUUAAAGUGAUGCAUCUAAUCCAACAUUCAGAUUAGUUCAUUUAAAUAGAGGCUGUUCAAUGACUGAUUUAUAAAUGAUUACAUUGUGUCCCCUAAUAUUAUGGUCUUGAUUGAUUACACCAUUAUAAUAAUAAUGAUUAAGGAUGAACCGUCUGUUUGUCAAUCUCAGAUGAGAUUUUUGUGAAAAUGGGUGAGGAGCUGAAGUUGGAUGUUCUGUUGAACAAUACUGAAAAAGUUGUCCAUCAGAACAAAAUCGGCUCAGAGUGGACGGUUGUCUGGAAGAGAAGAGCUGGGGUCAGGAGCGAUCGACUGACUGUCAGAGAUGGAAACCUGAUCAUUAAUGCAUUAACAGUCACUGAUGCAGGAACAUACAGAGUUCUGGACUUUGAUGAUGAAAUCUUGAUCACAGUGACAGUCACAGGAUCUGGUACAGACUCAAAGGAAAACCACACAGAUGAUGACAAAACUGAUGACACUAAUCAAAUCUCUGUACUUGAUUGGAAUAUGUUUAUUGGAAUGGGUUUUUCUCUGGUUGUGCUUUGUCUGACUCUGAUUUUAAUUAUGACCAGGAAUCACAGAAUAUUUCGCUAUGUAUUUUAAAUUUGGUUAUAAUGAUUACAGAUAAGAUAUAAUAUAUUGCAACACACAUUAUUGAUAAUUAUAACUUUAUAAUGCAUUAUGUAUAAAAAAAAGGCUUUAAAUGGAUACUUCACCCCAAAAUUAAAAUUGUCAUUACUCACUUACCCCCAGUGUCGUUCCAAACCCAUAAAAGGUUAGUUCGCCUUCCGGACACAAUUUAAGAUAUUUUGGAUGAAAACCGGGAGGCUUGUGACUGUGGCCAUAGCCAGGCUUUGAAAAUUAGUGAGGUCCAGGGGGUUUCUAUAAUAACUUCUUUAUUAUAGAGUUGUGCUAUAAUAACCCGUAUAAAUACAACUAAUUAUAGACACUAACACUUGAAAAGAGACAGACAUGUAGAUCUUUUUGGAGGGAUGCUCAUUUUUAGAUCAUACCCUAUUCAUUGCAUCAAAGUUGAAUACUUUAUUUAUGGGGUGGAUCAUUUUAUCAGUUGUUUAUUCAUGUUGCAACCAUACAUAUUGCUGUUAUAGUUUUUUAUUUGUAACCAUUAUAUAGCUGAUAACUUUGUCUAGUGCUCUUAUGAAUGUUUAUAGCAUGAUUUGUGAAAGUUUUAAGGGGGGGGUGAAUGCUCAUUUUCACUCAAUCUCCUGUUAAUCUUGAGUACCUAUAGAGUAGUACUGCAUCCUUCAUAACUCCAAAAAGUGGGCGGAGCAAAACAAUCACGAGCGCCAGUAGGCUUUUGCGUUGAGAGUGUUUGGAAGCUGUGACAUUACCUUGAGGAAAAAAACAUCAUCCAAAACAAACCAUGGCUAACAGUCAGAUUCAGCGUAUAUUUAUGAUCCAGAAUCAGAUCCAGAGGCUGAAAUUUAACAAGAGCAUCAGCAGCAACGACUAAAACAGGACGUCUCUAUGUGGUAUGUAUUGAAACUGUAUAUAUUUGCUUAGCGGUUUUGGAAAAUAACUAAGUUCCACUUUAUGUCGUCUUUUUUUUUUUUUUUUUUAAGGUGUACAAAGUUUACUUGAUGUGCUUACGCGCUGAUAGCUAAGUUAACAGCACAGAGAUAUUUGAAGAAGUUUUACUCACCGGCUGCGGUUCCAACACACGAUCGUGACACUUUUUCGUUGGGAUUGCAAUCAUCCUUAAUAAACAAUGUGCAAAUCCGGCGUCAAACUGGGCCUUGUUUGUAAAACAAGCAUCUUCGAAAUGCAGGGAACAAACACAAACACUUGCACAACUCCGUUGAUGCUCUGUAAAAAUAAACUCCAUCCACUGGUCCCUUAAUGCUGUUUCUCUUUUGGUAAUCUGUGCAGGGUUGUCUUGCCCUGGCAACCAAAAACACACUUCUUUUGUGACAUUUGGCGACGCUCUCACUCUGAUCAGUGAAGUCUGUUGUGCUCUCAGUGCUCUGCUCUACGGGAGCGCGCGCUCUUCCAGCAGAAGUGCCUUAGGACCCAUAUAAGGAAAUUCCGCUCCAUCUAACGUCACACAGAGCCAU
rnacentral:lncRNA from 1 species